rnacentral:rRNA from 1 species
GCUUAGAGUUUGAUCCUGGCUCAGGAUGAACGCUGGCGGUAUGCUUAACACAUGCAAGUCGAACGGAGUACUUCGGUACUUAGUGGCGGACGGGUGAGUAACGCGUGAGAAUCUGCCUUCAGGAUGGGGAUAACAGUGGGAAACCAUUGCUAAUACCCAAUGAGCCGAGAGGUAAAAAAUUUAUUGCCUGAAGAGGAGCUCGCGUCCGAUUAGUUAGUUGGUGGGGUAAAGGCUUACCAAGACGGCGAUCGGUAGCUGGUCUGAGAGGAUGAGCAGCCACACUGGGACUGAGACACGGCCCAGACUCCUACGGGAGGCAGCAGUGGGGAAUUUUCCGCAAUGGGCGCAAGCCUGACGGAGCAAUACCGCGUGAGGGAGGAAGGCCUUUGGGUUGUAAACCUCUUUUCUUAAGGAAGAAGAUCUGACGGUACUUAAGGAAUCAGCAUCGGCUAACUCCGUGCCAGCAGCCGCGGUAAUACGGAGGAUGCAAGCGUUAUCCGGAAUUAUUGGGCGUAAAGCGUCCGCAGGCGGCACUAUAAGUCUGCUGUCAAAGACCGCAGCUCAACUGCGGAAAGGCAGUGGAAACUGUAGAGCUAGAGUACGGUAGGGGUAGAGGGAAUUCCCAGUGUAGCGGUGAAAUGCGUAGAGAUUGGGAAGAACACCAGUGGCGAAAGCGCUCUACUGGGCCGUAACUGACGCUCAGGGACGAAAGCUAGGGGAGCGAAAGGGAUUAGAUACCCCUGUAGUCCUAGCUGUAACGAUGGAUACUAGGCGUAGCUUGUAUCGACCCGAGCUGUGCCGAAGCUAACGCGUUAAGUAUCCCGCCUGGGGAGUACGCACGCAAGUGU